rnacentral:rRNA from 1 species
UAGUCCAUGCUGUAAACGAUGAAUGCUGGUUGUCGGACUGAUGUUCGGUGACGAAGUUAACGCGAUAAGCAUUCCGCCUGGGGAGUACGGUCGCAAGAUUAAAACUCAAAGGAAUUGACGGGGACCCGCACAAGCGGUGGAGCAUGUGGUUUAAUUCGAUGCAACGCGAAGAACCUUACCAACUCUUGACAUCCUUAUCGGGGGGCACAGAGAUGAGCCCUUUCAGUUAGGCUGGAUAAGUGAC